rnacentral:rRNA from 1 species
GUAGGUGGCAAGCGUUGUCCGGAAUUAUUGGGCGUAAAGCGCGCGCAGGCGGUUUCUUAAGUCUGAUGUGAAAGCCCACGGCUCAACCGUGGAGGGUCAUUGGAAACUGGGAAACUUGAGUGCAGAAGAGGAGAGUGGAAUUCCACGUGUAGCGGUGAAAUGCGUAGAUAUGUGGAGGAACACCAGUGGCGAAGGCGACUCUCUGGUCUGUAACUGACGCUGAGGCGCGAAAGCGUGGGGGGAGCAAACAGGAUUAGAUACCCUGGUAGUCCACGCCCGUAAACGAUGAGUGCUGGGUGUCGGGGGGUACCCACCCUCGGUGCUGCAGCUAACGCAUUAAGCACUCCGCCUGGGAGUACGACCGCAAGGUUG